rnacentral:rRNA from 1 species
GAUGAACGCUGGCGGCGUGCCUAAUACAUGCAAGUCGAGCGAACAGACGAUGAGCUUGCUCCUCUGACGUUAGCGGCGGACGGGUGAGUAACACGUGGAUAACCUACCUAUAAGACUGGGAUAACUUCGGGAAACCGGAGCUAAUACCGUAUAAUAUAUUGAACCGCAUGGUUCAAUAGUGAAAGACGGUUUUGCUGUCACUUAUAGAUGGAUCCUCGCCGCAUUAGCUAGUUGGUAAGGUAACGGCUUACCAAGGCGACGAUGCGUAACCGACCUGAGAGGGUGAUCGGCCACACUGGAACUGAGACACGGUCCAGACUCCUACGGGAGGCAGCAGUAGGGAAUCUUCCGCAAUGGGCGAAAGCCUGACGGAGCAACGCCGCGUGAGUGAUGAAGGUCUUCGGAUCGUAAAACUCUGUUAUUAGGGAAGAACAAAUGUGUAAGUAAAUAUGCACGUCUUGACGGUACCUAAUCAGAAAGCCACGGCUAACUACGUG